rnacentral:miRNA from 1 species
UAACCUUUUCUACUCUCACAGU